GCUUCAUCCUCACGACGGGUCCGACUCCGACCCUGCUCCCCGCCCACAAACGGCCGCGGGCACCCGCACGUCCGGCACAACGUCACAGAGCAGCGGGGAGGCGCGUUCCCGAUCCAGCGGCGAUGGGGAGGGAGUUGCAGGGUUGUGCUGGUGGAGGGAUAAGAGUUGACGGUCCAGACAGGGUGGAGCACGUGGGGCCCGAGCGAUUGUAAAGGAAUGACUGAAACUGUACUGCUACAAACCGUGCUCCAUUGUCACGGAGUAAGGGUUCUGGAACACCAGCUCUUGAGAAGAGCUUUCUCAGCACAUCAGCAGUGUGUAAGGCUGCAGGGGAGGUCAAGGGGAACAUUUCAGGCCACUUUCUAGUUGUAUCCACUACUACCAAGAAAUUUGUGGCCAUGAAUGUUCUGGCAAAAUCAGCAUUAAUAUUCUGCCAGGGCAAAGUCGGCCAUUCCCAGGGACGGAGAGGAGAGGCUCUGCUCUCAGCAUCUUCUGUACAUGAUAGUAUCCCAAAGAGUAAGGGAACGUGAUAUAGAGUGUUCGCCUCUAUUAUUCCAAACAUGUGAUAUGACUGCACAGGCAAGCUUCACUGGAUGAUGUGGGUCAUAAUGUGUACUACAGUGUCUGAGGUCACAAUUUCCUUUGCCUUUUGGAAAGGUACGUCACAUCGCUUUGGCCAUUGCCAUUUCUUCCUGAUCUGUAGUAAUGAGCUUAAGGGGUGGAGCAUUAGUCAGGUUUGGCAGCAACCUGUCAUAGUAAUUGACAAUAUCUUAAAAAGGUCCACAACUGUGAUUCAACUUUUUGCCCUAAAAAAGACAUGGUGCAUCUAGAGACCAAAGAUGCCUGCAUUAGGAUGCUCUUUUUCAAUUUCAGCUCGGCAUUCAUUACCAUCAUCCCCUCAGAACUAAUCAUUAAGUUUCAAGACCCUGCCCUCAAUACUUCCUUCUGCAAUUAGAUCCUUGAUUUCUUUGCUUGCAGAUGCCUAUCAGUUUGGAUUGGCAAAAACAACUCCUCCACAAUCUCCAUUAGCACAGUGGAGAGUAUAUUGACUGGCAACAUCACAACCUGAUAGGGAAACAUCAAUUCCCUUGAAUGAAAAGUCCCAAACAAAAGUAAUUGAUCGAUCUCAAUCCAUCAUGGGUAAAGCUCUCCCUACUAUUGAGCACACUUUGUUACAUUUUCUGCAAGUUUUGCCUUUAAACUGGCAUUGGUCUGGUGCAUGUGAGCCCCUGCCAUAAUGGUAAUGCAAUUUAUUCAGUUGGGUAGGUUUCUGUUUAGACAUUACAAUUUUGUUCAUGCUCAUUUUUAUUCCUGACUGCAUCUCUGGCUGAUAUGUCUGAUAUUCCAUUGAUAUGUCAAUAUGAACUGCACUUUUAAAUGUGAGUUGUGCUUCAGUUUGGAGACAUUUUUGAAUGCUUUCUUGUAAAACUCCACAAACUAAGUGAUCUUUCAGUGCAUA